rfam:Salmo salar isolate Sally breed double haploid chromosome ssa18, whole genome shotgun sequence.
UGCAUUCACUAUUGUAAGUCGCUCUGGAUAAGAGCGUCUGCUAAAUGACUGUAA